GCCGGUAAUAGCGGAACUCCCUAACAAUUUUACCUGUGUAAGGUUAUUUUUUAAAGCAUAGUGGUGUUGACCAAAAUUUUCGAAUCACUAACGUAGGUGAUAAACCUAUUUAGAACUGGUUGAAUUUGAACGCAAUAAAAUCGUAACGGGAUGUUCUCGGUCACAUACACCGCCAGAGUUGUCCCCACGUCCAGUUGGCUCAAGGCCCCUACGGGCGUCCGUAUCAUAUGUCGACACAAACAGUUGACACUGUGUUGGUUGUGACAGAAGGAGGUGUGAUAUUAUAACGCUGUGGGAUUUGAAAAGAGACCGACCUACAGCAUGUGUUUUAAAGUGAAGUGCGAAAAAUGUGGCAAAUACACAUGGUCAGGAUGUGGGAAGCAUAUUGAGGUGAUACUGGAGGAUGUACCGGACGAGGAAAGAUGUAAAUGUCCACGUGAUAAAGAGAAAAAGUGUGUGAUCAUAUGAGCUGCUGCAUGGUGUUAGGUGAAAAGCUAUUUACCUGGUGCAGGUAACAUGCUAGAGGAGUGUAAUGGAGUACUCAGCUGGAAUUCAUCACCACUCUAGGAUGGAAUCUCACAACCAAUCAUGUGCCAUGUGAUAUUUCAGUUUUGUUCACAAUACAAUUGUUACUUUGUAAAUACAUUAUUUGUUAAAGUCAUAAAAAUAUGAUACAUGUUUGAGCCAAUAUUGUUCAUAAUAAUUAAGAGAAAAGAAGAAGAUAAAAGCUGUAGGCUUCCUGUUCCUAAGAGGAACAUUUUAGUUUGUUAUACCCCCGCAAUGAAGUUAGGGGGGUAUACUGGAAUCAGGUUGUCCGUCCGUCCGUCCGUCCGUCUGUCUGUAGACGCAUUUUGUCCGGACAAAUCCUCCUAAACCGAUGGGC